GACGUAGGGCGCGAGCGUUGUCCGGAUUUAUUGGGCGUAAAGAGCUCGUAGGCGGCUUGUUGCGUCGACUGUGAAAACCCGCGGCUUAACUGCGGGCUUGCAGUUGAUACGGGCAGGCUAGAGUUCGGUAGGGGAGACUGGAAUUCCUGGUGUAGCGGUGAAAUGCGCAGAUAUCAGGAGGAACACCGGUGGCGAAGGCGGGUCUCUGGGCCGAUACUGACGCUGAGGAGCGAAAGCGUGGGGAGCGAACAGGA
rnacentral:rRNA from 1 species